AAGACAAAACAACAAAAAAGGACUUUUCCCAGAUCUCAGGGAGCCAGGAAUAUGGAGCUAGUUAUCAACGAAAACUAAAUUAAAAAGUCCCAUUAGAAAACGGGCUUUUCCCCGAUGUUAGGGAGCCGAGAAUAUGGAGCUAGUUAUCUCCCGCAGGCUGGAGGACAAGUGUAGUGCCCACCCCGUCCCCGCAGAGAUUGUGCAGAGCCCUCAGGGUGUCUGGAAGCCCAAGAAGGCGGGGAACGCCGCACACUAGAGCCGCUUUUUUCUCCAUGGAGACGGCAUCGACGCAGCAAGAAAUGGCCGCAACGGUGGGACUUAGCAGGGAACAGGACCGGCCCGGGAGGACGCGAGGAAGGGUGGCUGCGGAGCCCCGAGGCAGCGGGCUCCCGUCUGCGGUCUUGGGCCCGCCAGGUGCGCAGCGGCGCGCGGUGCCCACCCAGCCCUCCCGCCAGCCUCACCUUACAUCUUUAUGGUCCCUUUGGGCCCCAGGUUGGUCCUCAGCACGUCCUGCAGACCCCGCGCACCGCUAAUGUUGAACGCCAGCGCCGCCUGCGCUCCGGCCACCUUGGCCUUGGGGUUCAGAGUCUUCGCCGCCGCCAUAGCUGCUCCAGAGGAAGAAAAGAAAGCGAUGCGGCACGCGGAGACCCCAGAGCCGGCGCGCCGUGGCCGGGAUGCACUAUCCGGAUCUUCCGGAAAAGUCGGCGCGCCCGGCCCGCCCCUAGCGUGCCCGCGCCGCCGCUAUUGGGCCACGAGCUGUCCAGCGCCCGCUCAUUGGUCCGCGGCUGCACGGUGCCGGCGGUCCCACCCCUCACCCCGCGGCCGCGACGCUAUAGCGCACUGGAGUAGCCUGUUCCUGGCAGUAAGUGCUUCUGGGUUCUGGCGUUGCUGCUCAGUGGGGCCCAAGUUUGCGGACCCGGGAUCUCAGGAUGCAGGCAGGGCUUGUGCCCCGCGCCGGACAGGGCGUAGGGGAAGGAACAGGAAGAGAAGAGUGUGGCCUCCUAGAAAUCUAGCACGGAGAAAGGUAAGUCUGAUUUGUCUUUUUUUGGUCUUGUUUUGUUUUUUUGCUGUCAUUGUAAUUUUUUUUAUGCAUUCGACUAUUAUACGUUAUACUGUUAUAUUAUGUUGGCCAGACUGGUCUUGAACUCCUGACCUCGUGAUCCUCAGCCUCCCAAAGUGCUGGGAUUACAGGAGUGAACCACCAAGCCUGGCCUGACCUCUUGGCUUUUACCAAAGGAUGUUUGCUUCUGAGGAAGUUGGAAGCUGCAGCCACAAUGUGCCUUUGCAGGGGAGCCUGAGAGCCACAGGUAAGGACAACUGAGUUAGACAGGAGGGAUGAGGCCUAGGGGGAGGGCAGAGUGCAUCACAUUCCCCCACCCAGACCCACAGGCCACGGCAUCACAGCCCCAUGCAAGUCCCGACACCUGUCUCUCUGAUUGUGUGAUUCCCAGUUAUUCCCAUUCCCCUAACAGAUAAACCUCCCAAUGGGUUCAAUGCAUACACUUUUAUUAAAUCUCACUCUGUCACCCAGGCUGGAGGGCAGUGGUGUGAUCUCGGCUCACUGCAAGCUCCGCUUUACAGGUUCAGGCGAUUCUCUUCAGCCUCCUGAGUAGCUGGGACUACAGGCAUGCACCACCAGGCCUGGCUAAUUUUUUUGUAUUUUUAGCAGAAAUAGGGUUUCACCAUGUUGGUCAGGCUGAUCAUGAACUCCUGACCUCAAAUGACCCACCUGCCUCGGCCUCCCAAAGUGCUGGGAUCACCUGCCCACUCCCUUGGUGAGGAGCCCCCUAGGGCACCUCCACCUCCUGGAGCACAAAUGUUGUUGAGAUGAGCAGCUUGAGACAUGGUAUGGACCUAUGCGGAGGUGUCCCUAGACAAUGAUGGCAUCAGAGUGAGAGGCUGGAUGAGGAUGUGUCUGGGGGAGCUUCGAGGCGCUGUGAUGUGUAAGAGAUCAUUAAUUCCAGGAUGCCACCCCAAGGAGAAUAUGCAUGGACCAAAGAUGAGGGGUCCCCAGGAGGGUGAACCAAUAGUAAGGCCCCCAGAUUCCAUCCCUAGCCAGGCUCCCUGCUAAGUGGCAAUUAGAAAAAUUCCUCUUUACAGAAAACAGAGCAUCAAUCAGGUCCCCAAUCACAGAGCCAGUCCUCUACCCUCUAGUGAAAGCUUCCAGUGGACAAGAAAAGCUUGGGAAAGCCAG
ensembl:lincRNA